CAGUUCAUAACACUUUAGCACGCGUAAUUUAAUUCUACUUUCUUAGAAUUAGUCAUAUUAAUCUUCUAACUGUCUUUUUCUGCAGCUCUUCCCUCCCCUAUGCCCUCUAGUGACCAGAGGGAGUUGCACAAGAGACCUCAGCAGCUUUUCCUCAAUGAACCCUCUCCCAGACCUUCCUCGUGCUUUUCUUCACACUCCUCUGGGUCCCCACAGUCAUCCCAGUCCCCACUUCCGUGGGAGAGCCCUAAACUCAAGCCCCAGCACUCUUACAUGAACCCCACUGCUAGCUCCGUGGCAAAAAGCCGGUCCUCCUCUUUUGGAGAUGCCGUCCAUAUAGUGACCCCGCCAGGCUCCCCCUUGUUCUCCAAGAGGAGGACGUCGUCUGUGGAGAUGGAAACUGAACCUCCCGUGUUCGCCUCAUUUCCUGUCCUGAUUUUCCCAUCCUCCACGCCGUCAAAAUCAUCCCUUCCACUAUCAAACAGUCCCUCCUCGACUCCACCUCAUCCUACAGCCAGCCAGAACGUCCCUCCUUCUCGCAUCCCACUUCCUAAGCAGCCGCUCAGCCCUCGGCGCAGCCUGUGCCUGGAGGUGAAGCCAAGCUCAAGUUGGUCUGGAGGCAUCAGCAGGGCUUCUACUCCUACAACAGACCCCGGAUGUCACCAUAGAGCUACUCCCCUAAACAAACAAGCAUUAGGCAGGCACCUGUCUCUAAGUUUGGAUUCCUCUUUGUCAUGUUCCAUGCCUGUGAAGCAGAAAAGGGACUCGGUUUCUGAGAGUGCCAAGGAGCCAGGUCAGGUGGCUGUAGCUAAAGAGUGCCCUCUGGUGCCUGAACAGGCCCACACAUCAAGCCCACAGCCAGAUCGCUCAGUCACCUUGGAAACUUGUAGGCAGGUUGUUACCGACCUUCACAGCAGUUUGCGGAAAACUGUCACGUUGUACACUACGGUCAGUGUGUGCGUCUGUGUAUAUGAAUGUGUGAAAAUGGUGGGUGGGUGUGUGGAUGGAGAACUUGAUAGAAAACAGGAAACAGAGAGAGAAUAA
rnacentral:lncRNA from 1 species